rfam:Myotis brandtii contig276317, whole genome shotgun sequence.
CUCGGGGAGAGGGGUCCCUCAGCCUGGAUUGCAAGAGGGUGCAGGCCAGGCUGAGGGACCUCACUAGUGCACA